UUUUUCUCUCCUUCUUUCUUGAUUCCUCUGCAUCUCUGCUUUCUUUUCUUUCGUCUUCAACCACUGCCAAUGAUAGUGGCUGUUGUUGCUUCGACCGUCCGCCAUUGACAGGUGCUGGAGCUCGUUGAUUCGUUGCUGUAUGUUUGAGAAGAUUCGAAGGCUCUGGAUCAAGGAGAAUGGGAGAGAGCUUUAAACUAUAGCUACGUCUCUUCCGAUCUCCUUCCUGUGCUGUUCUUUUCGUCUGUCACCAGUCGUCGUUCAGCUCGUCCGUCUGCUGUUCAUUCGCGUUGGCGGCCGUUUUUUCUUCCUCUGUUAAUAUCGAGCUAUGGGUUCUUAAAUUUCAGAUUGGAGAGUGGUUGAUUCACACUGAUUUACUGGUUUUCUGCUUCCCCUGUUCAGCACCGAACUGCUCUCCCUUCAUAGUCGUUGUGGCCGAUAUCUGGUGAGGGAGUUCAUUCUCCCAUUCUCAUCUCUAAUGAUUUUAUGUGGCAAUAGAGUACGUAGCUGAAGAGAAGUGUAGAGGUGUUUAGAAAGAACAUAUGAUUAUUCUUGGAGCUUAUCAGAUGGUAUAGUUGAACUCGUGACUCGAGAUAUCCACUGAGGAGUUUUACUGCUGAAUUGAAGCAGAAGAAUUACUUUAAUCAAAUCCUAAUUUAGUGAAAAUUUGAACUUUAUACCUACGUUGGUGUCUGACCUUAGGUGCUCAACAUAGACUACAGAGUUCCUUCUAUCACGGCUUAAAGGAUGUGAGGUUUGUGUCCAUAUCCUGUGCCGGUCACACCUGAUUUUUUUGGGGUGCGACAUGUAGUUUGUGAUGUGGAUGAAAUCCGUUAAGACGAUGAAGAUGGUAUAGCUAACCCAGUCAACGCCACCACCCAAGAGAAGAACAAAGUCAUCUAGUGUUUUGUGCCGAUCUGAUCACACUGGUAUUGAAGAAGUUCUAACUCUUCAAUUUAUUUUAUUUUGGAUGCGCUGGGCUCGUCAAUGUAUUGAAAAAAUGCAUUUAGUUCAGAACGUCAGCAAGCAAGUGUGAUGAGAGUUGAGCUCACAACUAAAUAAUUUAGUCCAGUUGUGCGCAGUAGAAAACUUUUUUAAUUAUCUUUUAAUUUUGUAAUA